rnacentral:rRNA from 1 species
GUGGGGAAUUUUGGACAAUGGGGGCAACCCUGAUCCAGCCAUGCCGCGUGAGUGAAGAAGGCCUUCGGGUUGUAAAGCUCUUUCGGCCGGGAAGAAAUCGCAUAGGCUAAUACCCUGUGUGGAUGACGGUACCGGAAUAAGAAGCACCGGCUAACUACGUGCCAGCAGCCGCGGUAAUACGUAGGGUGCGAGCGUUAAUCGGAAUUACUGGGCGUAAAGCGUGCGCAGGCGGUUUAGUAAGACAGGCGUGAAAUCCCCGGGCUCAACCUGGGAACUGCGCUUGUGACUGCUAAGCUAGAGUACGGCAGAGGGGGGUGGAAUUCCACGUGUAGCAGUGAAAUGCGUAGAGAUGUGGAGGAACACCGAUGGCGAAGGCAGCCCCCUGGGCCGAUACUGACGCUCAUGCACGAAAGCGUGGGUAGCAAACAGGAUUAGAAACCCUAGUAGUCC